GUCAGCCAGGAUAGCUCAGUUGGUUAGACCGUGGUGCUGAUAAUAUCAAGAUUGCAAGUUCGAUCCCUGCAUGGGACA
rnacentral:tRNA from 1 species